ACGACUCUCGACAACGGAUAUCUCGGCUCUCGCAUCGAUGAAGAACGUAGCGAAAUGCGAUACUUGGUGUGAAUUGCAGAAUCCCGUGAACCAUCGAGUCUUUGAACGCAAGUUGCGCCCGAAGCCACUAGGCUGAGGGCACGUCUGCCUGGGUGUCA
rnacentral:rRNA from 4 species